rnacentral:sRNA from 1 species
GGCCGCCGCAGCCCCCCGAGGAAUCGCAGCCACCUCAGUCCCAGGCGCAAGUGCCACCGGCGGCCCCUCACCACCAUCACCACCAUUCGCACUCGGGGCCAGAGAUCUCGCGGAUUAUCGUCGACCCCACGACGGGGAAGCGCUACUGCCGGGGCAAAGUGCUGGGAAAGGGUGGCUUUGCAAAAUGUUACGAGAUGACAGAUUUGACAAAUAACAAAGUCUACGCCGCAAAAAUUAUUCCUCACAGCAGAGUAGCUAAACCUCAUCAAAGGGAAAAGAUUGACAAAGAAAUAGAGCUUCACAGAAUUCUUCAUCAUAAGCAUGUAGUGCAGUUUUACCACUACUUCGAGGACAAAGAAAACAUUUACAUUCUCUUGGAAUACUGCAGUAGAAGGGUAAGUGUCAACUCCUAUUUGAGAACAUUUGCUUACCGCGAAUUAACAUGGUAUUCAAAGAGUAUUUUAUCUGGGAUUUUAGCUGUGGCAGCACUUACACUGCAAAGUUAACUUUCAUUGCUCAUCCUGCAAAGGGAAACCAGUGAUUUUGAUAACUGUUUUGACAGAUUCUCUUUUUUCCUUCUCCUCUUCCUAGUCAAUGGCUCAUAUUUUGAAAGCAAGAAAGGUGUUGACAGAGCCAGAAGUUCGAUACUACCUCAGGCAGAUUGUGUCUGGACUGAAAUACCUUCAUGAACAAGAAAUCUUGCACAGAGAUCUCAAACUAGGUAAGUCAUUGACGCCAAAAGCUGAGUUUUGUGCUAGAGUUCUUUUUUCUCUCUCUGUUUUUUUUUACAUAUUAAUGUUCUUAAUUGGGAUCUGGUGUCUGC